rnacentral:rRNA from 1 species
CGGACGGGUGAGUAACGCGUGAGAAUCUGCCUUCAGGACGGGGACAACAACUGGAAACGGUUGCUAAUACCCGAUAUGCCGCGAGGUGAAAUGUUUUUUCGCCUGAAGAUGAGCUCGCGUCCGAUUAGCUAGUAGGUGGUGUAAGGGACUACCUAGGCAACGAUCGGUAGCUGGUCUGAGAGGAUGAGCAGCCACACUGGGACUGAGACACGGCCCAGACUCCUACGGGAGGCAGCAGUGGGGAAUUUUCCGCAAUGGGCGAAAGCCUGACGGAGCAACGCCGCGUGAGGGAAGAAGGUCUUUGGAUUGUAAACCUCUUUUCUCAAGGAAGAAGUCAGUGACGGUACUUGAGGAAUCAGCAUCGGCUAACUCCGUGCCAGCAGCCGCGGUAAUACGGGGGAUGCAAGCGUUAUCCGGAAUUAUUGGGCGUAAAGCGUUCGUAGGCGGCCAAGUAAGUCUGCUGUCAAAGUGCGGAGCUUAACUCCGUAAGCGCAGUGGAAACUGCUUGGCUUGAGUAUGGUAGGGGUAGAGGGAAUUCCCAGUGUAGCGGUGAAAUGCGUAGAUAUUGGGAAGAACACCGGUGGCGAAAGCGCUCUACUGGGCCAUAACUGACGCUGAGGGACGAAAGCUAGGGGAGCGAAAGGGAUUAGAUACCCCUGUAGUC